AUUAGUAUUAAACUGCAUUGAAUAUGGAGUAGAAUCAAUACAGCCCGUAAAUGAUUUAGAAGUCCUAAGUUCAAAACACAUCUGGGUGGAAAUCGAAAAAUUGCAGAAACCGGUCCAGAAAAUAGGAAUUUUCAUUUCUAAAACCCUCGAAGAGCAAGAAGCUGAAAAACCCUGAAUUUGAGAAAGCAUACAAAUUGCAACAAAAACCAGAACUGUUGUAUUGAAAUUUGAAAAUGUUUGGUCGAAGCAGAUUCCUCUCGUUUCCUAUGGUGAUUGGAGCAGUCGUGAUUGGAGUUGUUUCAGGCAAGGCAAUAUUUGGGCCCCCACUUGAUGAGUACUGGAAAAAGAAGCAGCAGGAAGAGGCAGCUGCAAAGGAGACUGAUGCAAGCUCAAGUUAACCAAUAUUUACUGAUCUUCUCAUGUUUGAUGACGUCAUAGAGGAGUUGUGCUCAGGGAUGCAGGUCAUUCAUUAAUUCAUUUACGUGCUAGGAUCAAGGCAACUGCUAACAGCUAGUUUUUUGAAUUCAUGGGAUCCCCGAUAGUUUGUUGAAACAGUCGUAGUUGAAGAAGGUACUCACUACUCUGCAUUUGCUGAAUUGUAUUUAAGUUGUAACAUUCAAAUAAACGGUGUUUUUGAGCUUUGCUGUUUACAAGGAGGAAAAUUUCCCUAUUAUAUAUAACCUUCAA